rnacentral:tRNA from 1 species
UAAUAUGUAGGUUAAAUAAUAAAAACUGAAGAAUUGUGGUUUCUUUGAUACUUUUUUGAGUCUUAUUUA